GUAGGAUGUUUGCUUCUGGUGGUGGGAAGUUUCUUGUGUGCAUGCGCGCGUGUGUGUGUGUGUGUGUGUGUGUGUAGGUAUACGCAAGUUCUGACUCUUCAGAACUUUAUCUUCAACUCAAUGAUUUUCUUAAGCCGUAUGGAGGAGUUGUGUGUCGUUCAAUAGCUCGUCAGGGGAAGUGAGACAAAGAGUCCUUUAGAAGCAGAGUGCUCUGCUGUGCGUGUCAUUUUUGCAUGUGUGUAUUUGCUUUACUGACGACAGAGGCGCAGGUUCGGGCAGGGUGGGUGUGUGACGCUGUGUGGGUGUGAGGGGAGGUUCCUCAGCUCCAAGCUCUCCGUCAUUCAUACACUCAGGAGGUCCAAACACACACACAAACGCACACAAACACACACCGGGGGAGAGAGGAGACAACGGCAAGAGAUCAGGUAAGACGGCCACCUCUUUCCCAUCCGAUAGUCUCUGUGUUUUGCUCAUUGCUACUCCAGUUGAGACUGAAUACUAUAAAGUAAAGUAAAGAAAACAACUCACAGCUGUUUUAUUUCCUCUGACAAUAAAUGUUAAACUAAUUAUUAUUAUCAAUCAUAUUUGCUGCUUUGGUUUCAUUCUCAAUAUUGUGUCAAGUUGAACCUUUAUUGUGAUCUGGGCGACUGGUGGGAAAUGUUACCUGACAUAUCUGUAGACGCUUGGCACACAAUACCUAAAAGGGUCACUGCACAGAGCAGAUUAACACCGCUCUCUGACAAUAGAGUGGGAAAUAAAGGAAUGUAAGGCCACGCAAUCAUUUACAAUGUGGGGUAAAAAAUUAAAAGUGCACUUGGAUAAGGGUGGAAUUUGUGUGGACUUCUUCAUGAUGGACAGUGUAAAUGAUAAUAUUUUUUCAGGAAAACUACAGUUCUUUCUGUUGGUUUUUCACUUUUCAAAUCUGUGAUGUGACAGAAGGUACGGCUGGAAAGUAACCUGUAUGACAUCAUCUCUUGGUUACGUGUCAGAGUCCGUCCAUCUGAUCCUUCUCCUUUUUUGGACAUUACCGAGAACUGGAGACAGUCAACAUGAAGCCAUUGGCUGCUGGAAAAGUGAUGUCAAUUUGGUGUCAAAGUCUGAGCCCGUGUUAUAAGAACAUUAUUUUUACUUUAUCUUUGACAUCCAGUUAUCAUCACGGCCAUGAGAACACGGUGCCCACACGCACACACAGACACACACAGAGACACACACAGAGAUACAAACAGAGAUAAGUCCACAACAGAACUAAUGCAAAACCACAAAGUGUACUUUCUGUUAUUUGGUUUCAUAAACAAGGAGACAGAUACUAUGCUGUACAGAGCAUUUUACACAGAUAAAACAUGCAGAUGGUCACACAUGUCGCCCGCGACACUGACGCUCUCUGCCAUCUAUGGUCUCCUUUCACGAGUGAGGGUUAUGUAACAACGCUAAUGCCUGAUCCCUCUUGCCCCCCCACCCAACCCUCCUUUUUGUCCUCCAGCUGCUGAAGCACGAGGAGAAAAAGAGUGGGAGAAAAAGGAAAACAAGGAAGUGAAAAGAUGACAAUUGGCAAGAACUCCGGGAGAAGCUCCGUCCGGGCGCCAAAGUUCCUCGACAAAUCCACCGGCUUCUACGGUCGCCUCGAUGAGCCCGAGGCCGCCGGACAAGGAGAGGAGGCGAGGGGAGGAGAAGGCGUAGAGGAGGCGUGCAACAGGACGGGGGACAGCGGCCGGGACGGGAGUGUGGUGCACGUCUCCGGGGCAGGUGAGAGGGAGGAGGUCGAGGCGUUUGACCUCGAGGAAGGGAUGAUGGAGGACGACGGGGAGACUCUCCUCCAGAGGAAGCCCAGCCGCCGCAGCGGCAGGUGGAGAAGGAGCUCCAGGAGGAAGCAGAAGGUGGGGAGAGGCGAGGAGGGCGAGAGCCCAGUCGACCCGCCCGCCCCGGAGGACACCAGGGGGAUGGUCCCAGAUGAGAUGGCGGAAGUGAAGGAGACGGAGGAAGAGGAGGAGGAGAAGGCCGGCCGGGGGAAGGAGCCCGAGGUCGUUCACUUCCCGAUUCGGGAGGAUACCGAUGACCAGGUCCUGAUCCGAGACAAGAAGAGGGGGCGAGAAGAGGAAGGAGAGGAGGAGAGGAGGAUGAAGAGGGAACAAGAGGAGGGAAUGAGGGUGGUGAAGAGGAACUCUGUGAGGAAUUACCGCAAGGCCUUGGACCGAGCCUUCCGUCGGGGGUGGGAGGCCUUCAUCGCCAACCUCUACAGCGUCACGCUCACACCUGUGACCUCAUCAUCACCUCCGUCUUCUUCGCCAUCGCUGAAGAAGAAAGUGCAACACAACUCUGUGUUGGCUGAGUUUCAGUAGAUCCCGCGACCUUCAUGGACAAUAAAAUGCACCCUUUCUUGAUGUUGAGUUUUUCGAUGAGGAUGCGCGUCACACGUUAGAGCUCAGAAACCUCAAUUAGUUGUGUAAGUUACUUGUCAUCAUGACGUUUUACUGCCUCGUCUCAUUGUGGUGCACAUUAGUUUAAACUGCAGGGAUUCACGGUUGCUUCUAUGGUGAAGUUCUUUUUUUCGUGACUGAGUUCAGCUGCUUCUCGCUUCUCGUGUCCACCUUCGGAUUAAGCCUUAACAUCUGAGUUCCUCAAAUUUUUUCCACUACCAAGAGUUUAGAGUGCAAAUAAUCUUUGCAUCUUUGGUUUAGCGCUGUGAAACUUCAACGGUGUUGAUGUGCAACCAAAAAGAACAAAAAGGUUUGACUGCAUGAGCAAUGGCUGAUUAGUGGAGUUCGGUGAAGGAGAUUUCUUGCUGCCUGACAGCUAAUCAGUAAAAAGAGUAGAAAAAACACCCCCAUCUGUUUAAAUCUCUUAACGUUGGUAAAAAACAUAAGUUUCCCAGGAACACACAUGAGCAUACAGUUGGCCAGUGUUUGACUUCUUCACUGUGUUCUGAUGAAGGUUAUUUAACCUGAAGGGACAUUCAAGCAGAGUUUCUGCAUGUACGUGUGUGUGUAUGUGUGCCAAUAAGAAAGAGAUAUUUGAUAUUUCCGGGUUUGUAAAUCAGAGUGUGUUUCGAUUGUUACCGUUGAAGAUGCGCAUCUUGCUUGUUAGAGAAGUUUUACUUGCCUAAAACAUCAAUACAAUACAUACGAUUGUGCAAAGAAGACAUUAUAUAAGUGAUUUAAUAUAUUAAUUAUUUUCCCUUGUUACCAUGAACAUAUAAUGUUUACAAGAGUCCUGCUGUAAUUACCUUUCAUCCACUUUAUACACCUUUUGCAAACCAGACUGAAUAUUGUGGUUGUAUAUAAUGAUUAUUUAAAAAUGUCCCUUUUUAAUAAAAAUCCCUUUCUUUCUUAAUCAAAGCAUCCUCUGUCAUGAGACAGUCAAAGAAAGACUUUUAUGAAUGAAUAAAGACUUAAUUUAUUGUACUGGUCGUAUUUUCUGGUAUGGCGUUUAAUGCAGUAUGAAUGGAUCUCUCUGUAUUUUAAUUUGCUGAUGUCUGUUAUUGUUUGGAUGAGUUAGAAUAAAUAAGAUGUAAAAGACAGAACCACAUCAUCAUGACGCCAAGCAGCUUGAACAGGUGAAACGUUGCUGUUUUUUGUGCAUUUGGCCCAUGAUAAUAGAGAAAAGAUAUGAGUACAGACUUAUACAUAUGGGUCAUAAAAGUACUUAAGGUGUAUUCAUUUGUGUUCAUCUUAUAAAUAUAUAGGUAUGUUUUGUCCAUGCAAUUUAUUUUAAAAAGAAAUAUUCCAAAGAAAAAGCACAAAGAUCUUCUGUUGAAAAAAUAAAAAUAAAACAUACCUCCUAUUCUCUAUCAUAACGUCAAUAGCAAAAAUAAACUUUUCGCUUUUUUGUCUUGGUAUGAAUUUACAGUGUAUUGUGAUAUAAAAUAGAUGAAUUACGAAGAAAAUGUCGCUUUGCCGACACCAUGUGGAUGUAAACCAAUAUUUUUUCUUAACGG
ensembl:lncRNA